rnacentral:rRNA from 1 species
CAGUAGCCGCGGUAAUACGUAGGGCGCAAGCGUUAAUCGGAAUUACUGGGCGUAAAGCGUGCGCAGGCGGUUCUGCAAGACAGAUGUGAAAUCCCCGGGCUCAACCUGGGAACUGCAUUUGUGACUGUAGAGCUGGAGUGCGGCAGAGGGGGAUGGAAUUCCGCGUGUAGCAGUGAAAUGCGUAGAUAUGCGGAGGAACACCGAUGGCGAAGGCAAUCCCCUGGGCCUGCACUGACGCUCAUGCACGAAAGCGUGGGGAGCAAACAGGAUUAGAUACCCGUGUAGUCCCUGUCUCUUAUAC